rnacentral:rRNA from 1 species
AUGGCUGUCGUCAGCUCGUGUCGUGAGAUGUUCGGUUAAGUCCGCUAACGAGCGCAACCCUUCGCCGUAUGUUACAAGUGUCAUACGGGACUGCCGGUAAAAGCCGGAGGAAGGUGAGGAUGAUGUCAAGUCAGCAUGACCUUUAUAUCCAGGGCUACACACACGCUACAAUGGUCUGUACAAUUGGUUGCCAAGCCGCGAGGCGGAGCCAAUCCGUAAAGCAGGCCUCAGUUCAGAUUGCAGUCUGCAACUCGACUGCAUGAAGCCGGAGUUGCUAGUAACCGCAGGUCAGCAAUACUGCGGUGAAUACGUUCCCGGGUCUU